AGACCCGAAACCCGGUGAUCUAGCCAUGGGCAGGUUGAAGGUUGGGUAACACUAACUGGAGGACCGAACCGACUAAUGUUGAAAAAUUAGCGGAUGACCUGUGGCUGGGGGUGAAAGGCCAAUCAAACCGGGAGAUAGCUGGUUCUCCCCGAAAGCUAUUUAGGUAGCGCCUCGUGAAUUCAUCUCCGGGGGUAGAGCACUGUUUCGGCUAGGGGGCCAUCCCGGCUUACCAACCCGAUGCAAACUGCGAAUACCGGAGAAUGUUAUCACGGGAGACACACGGCGGGUGCUAACGUCCGUCGUGAAGAGGGAAACAACCCAGACCGCCAGCUAAGGUCCCAAAGUCAUGGUUAAGUGGGAAACGAUGUGGGAAGGCCCAGACAGCCAGGAUGUUGGCUUAGAAGCAGCCAUCAUUUAAAGAAAGCGUAAUAGCUCACUGGUCGAGUCGGCCUGCGCGGAAGAUGUAACGGGGCUAAACCAUGCACCGAAGCUGCGGCAGCGACGCUGAUGCGUUGUUGGGUAGGGGAGCGUUCUGUAA
rnacentral:rRNA from 1 species